GGUCUGCUCCCCGCGCCCACCGCCCCAGCUCGCACCCUGCUCUCCGCGUUCUCUGUCCCUGAGGGGAGCCCGCGGCAGCCCUGAGGGGAGGUGGCCGGGCCGGGGUCCCGCCGACUCUGCCGCCGGACGGAGGCCGCCGCGGGUGGUCGCUGCGGCCAUUUUGUGGGGGUUCGGGCCGGCGGGGGACGCAGUGCAUUGCGGUCAGCAGGCUUGCGCUCCCGCACUACCCUCCGGGGGCGAGGACUGCUGGUGUGGGAGCGCUCGUUCCGUUUUCCAGUGGAGACGAGGAGAGGACCCGAGCCGAGGACCGUGACGUCGGGCGCCCCGAGCGUCCUCACUUACUGGCGUCGCGAGGCACCGGCAGUGGCCAAGGGCCCUCGGGUCUGGCGACUUGCGGUCGGGGUCUCGGCAGCGGAGGCGUCCAGGCCUGCGCGGAAGUCCCCAGGAUGCGGAGCCGGCUGAGGAUGGCUCUUGAGGGUUUCCAUCUUCUCCCUCCCAAGGUGACCUGAGCACAGGGUGGCUGGAUGGAGGAUCUGAGUGAACAAGUUGGGCCCCAGGGCCUAAUGCUGCUUCCUGUCUAUCCUCACCACGUCAUCCUCCUUGUCACUCAGACCAGAUGCUUUCAGGUCCCUUCAGUUCACCAAACACAGGCCACUGAUAAUAAUUGGGUCACAUCAAUAACUCCACACCAGUCUCUGGAUCUAUGAAGAUAAAAUGAGGCAGAAGGACGUGGCCCUUGCCCUACAAUCAUCUCCUUAGACUUGCUGGCCAACACCAAGCGAUGAGAUGCUAUUUUUCCUCAGUCUCUCCUGACUUUUCACCUCUUGUCUCGUUUCAGCCCUGACCUGAAGCCUUGCUGAGCUUCCUUCUCUUCUGUCUCCCAUACUCUGCUCAAAAUCAGGUGGCUUUCCACACCCUUCUCCCUGUACCCUGCCUGUGCAGAGCCUUCCCCCCAGGACGGAGACACAUAACUGAUUUGAGCUUUUAUUUGUGUUUUGUUUGUGACCUCCAUGAUUAUAGAUUCUUGCUCCAGGAGGCUGGGACAGCUGUUCUCAACACUGUUUUUUGGGCAUAGUCACUGACGGUGGUUACACAAGCUACCCACAUCCACAAAGCCAUCUGGGUCUUGCUGAAAUCUAAAAACAUGGUGAAGGGAAAAAUAGCCAAUGUCAUGUAAAUAAUGGUCACUCACUUAAAAAUUUCAAACCAUUUUAUAAAAAAAAAUAAUAAGGAUGGUGUAUUAGUCGGGGUUCUCCAGAGAUACAGAAACAAUGGGAUAUGU